UGUGCGCGCGCAAAGGUUGCGCCCAGCACUCGCUGCAAGAGGCAGAGACGGGCAGGACAACUCUGCCCCCACCUCCUGUCUCAAAGCCGGCCGGAUAUAUAGUGUCAGCGGCUGGAAGAGGAGGAGAGAAGAGGUUUUGUGUGCCCCCCCCCUUGCCUAGAGUUGCUUGUGAUCGGGGAGGCGGGGGAAGCGUUUUGGAGCCGGGAAUGGAUCGGAAACGGUAACGAAGAUUCAACUGUACAUACAAUCGCCUGAAUAUACAUGCAAAGAAUUGGGAAUGCAAGUGGUGAAUAAUCACAAAAGGCUAGAUUCUUCCAUCCUUGCUCACAAGCCCAUGUGAAAACCUCUAGUUUUUAUUCCUGUAGUUCAGGAAUGAACGGCUGCCAAAAAGUGAUGUAUUCUUCUUCUUCUUUGUUCCAGCUGUUUGGAAGACAUAAGAAUUGUCUGACUCUUUAAUGUCACAUUUAUUUCAAGAGUCCAGUAUUUUUGUCCUUUGCUCUUGGUCCAGGUUUUAGAACUCUAGCCUGGAACUUGGCAUACUUGGGUUCUGUUUCCUGCUCUGUCACAGACUAUGGCCAGGUCUACACUACAAACUUACCUCAUUCAGGGUGUGGAAAAAUGGAGCGAUGUAGUUAUAUUGACUGAACUCCUGGAGUAGACAGUGCUGUGUCGACAGGAAAGCUUCUCCUACCAACAUAAUUAUGGCCUCUUGUGGAGGUGGAUUAGAUAUGCCAAUGGGCGAAGUUCUCCCAUUGGAGUAGUAGUAUCUUCACUGAAGUGCUACAGUGGUGCAGCUGCAGUGCUGUCUGUGUAAACAAGCUCUACAUCUGUGACUUUGGGCAGGUCACUUAACGUCAGACUUCUUCAGUUCUCCAUCUGUAAAAUGCAAUACAAUUUUAGUACUUCCCUACCUCACAGGGGUGUUGUGAAGCUAAAUACGUUAAAGAUUGUGAGGCACUCAGAUACUAUAUUAAUAGGUACCAUAUAAUUACCAUCUAAUAGGUCCCCAGCUGAUCUGAUAUUUUGUGCAUUGGUGGUAGAGAAUUAGGUUUUCCUCCUGCAGUGCUGCCCUCUACUUGCAGCAUUGUUUUAACUAGAUCAGGGGUAGGCAACCUACGGCAUGUGUGCCCAAGGCAGCACACGAGCUCAUUUUCAGUAGCACUCAUACUACCCGGGUCCUAGCCACAGGUCUGGGGGGCUCUGCAUUUUAAUUUAAUUUUAAAUGAGGCUUCUGAAACAUUUUAAAAACCUUAUUUACUUUAAAUACAACAAUAGUUUAGUUAUAUAUAUUAUAGACUUAUAGAAA